AUCGCUUCUCGGCCUUUUGGCUAAGAUCAAGUGUAGUAUCUGGAUUUGGCCUAUUGAAUACCGCCAGGUUCCGCUGGAGGUGUAAGGAUGAGGGGAUUCCUUUCUUGGAGAGGGUCCCUUUUAUUCGGGAAAUCCUUCUUGGCUUGCUGCAGUUCUCUGUGAAGGACUUGAU
ensembl:snRNA U2 U2 spliceosomal RNA